CGUUGCUCGGAACUGUCUGGAAACUUCAGUGGGAGCGACAACUUUACCAGUUUCGGUCCAGGAACUUUUCUUUGCAAAAGAGACGGGGUGCAAGUAGCCCUGGUUUCGUUCUCUGUUUUCCCUCCCUCCUCCUCCGCUCCGAUUCGCCUUCCCCGGGUUUGGAGCGGGCAACUGAGCACUGGCCACCCAGCGCCUCUGCUAAGUGCUCGCCGCCGCAGCCGGGUGACGCGCCAACCUCCCCGGGAGCCGUUCGCUCGGCGUCCGCGUCCGGGCAGCUGAGGGAAGAGGAGCCCCAGCAGCCGCGGCUUCUCUCCUUUCCCGGCCACCCGCCCCCUGCCCCGGGCUCGCGUAUGAAUCUCCUGGACCCCUUCAUGAAGAUGACCGACGAGCAGGAGAAGGGCUUGUCUGGCGCCCCCAGCCCCACCAUGUCGGAGGACUCGGCUGGUUCGCCCUGCCCCUCGGGCUCAGGCUCCGACACGGAGAACACACGGCCCCAGGAGAACACGUUCCCCAAGGGCGAGCCGGAUCUGAAGAAGGAGAGCGAGGAAGAUAAAUUCCCAGUGUGCAUCCGCGAGGCGGUCAGCCAGGUGCUGAAGGGCUACGACUGGACCCUGGUGCCCAUGCCGGUGCGCGUCAACGGCUCCAGCAAGAACAAGCCACACGUCAAGCGGCCCAUGAACGCCUUCAUGGUGUGGGCGCAGGCUGCGCGCAGGAAGCUGGCAGACCAGUACCCGCAUCUGCACAACGCGGAGCUCAGCAAGACUCUGGGCAAGCUCUGGAG
rnacentral:lncRNA from 1 species